rnacentral:tRNA from 1 species
GGACGCAUGGAAACACGUCGCCACCUGCAGAAAUCAAUCACCCUCACAUUGACAUCGAGGGGGUCACAGGUUCAAUCCCUGUCGCGUCCACCA